UUAACAGGUGUGUGUGUGUGCGUGGUCUUAAAGAUAUCGAGGUUGCUGAGCGGUGACGAAGAAAACAGCCUCCUGUGGGCCAACCGCGAGUUAAAGCUUUGCAAAGGCGAAGAGCAGCACUGCAUAGAUGAGGAUUACGCACGGCCUUCCACAUCCGACUGUGAGGUAAGGACUCACCUUGCGCUGGCCAUGCUCGGAGUCGAGGACGAUGUCGCAUCCGAGUGCGAUCAAAGCAGUAGCAGCAUGGAUUUCGUGAGUUCCAGGAAGAGCCUCGAAGAUUACUUUGGUGGUCGAUGUAGCCAGUAGCUUAGCUGCGAUUUUUUUUCGUGAGGAAACCAGAGAAGAGUGAGCUGGAGUGACACUUGAGUAGAGAAUAGAAUAGCCUACCGCUUGGUCGUGGUCGCACGCCUUACAAACACGAUGUCCGCGGCUAUGCUUUGUCAGCUCCGUCAUCUCCCCGACGCUCUAGUUCUCGGACAAACUCCUGACAGCAAUUUCAAUGCUGGAAUGUUGGAUAAGAGAUGACUCUCCGUGAACAGUACCUGAGAUUUUGGGGGAUGAGAUGUCGCUGAUCACAAUUUUCAGGUGGCUCAAGAAGCUGCUUCACUACGAUAACAAGGAAGAAGAACAACGCCCCCGCGAGGAAGAUGAAGAUUGCACUUCCAUCUUGGCAGACGCAGCAUCACAGCAGUUUUCGUUUCCAAGGAAGUUCAGUUACGACGAGAUCCAAGCUGCAACGAGUAAGUUUGUCAGAAAGCACAAUCCAGGAAAUGGUAAAGUUGCUUACUUCGAAGGCAGACUCCGCAGCUCUGGAAAGAGAGUAGUUGUGAAGAAGGUCGAGGCAAGUCGACGGUUGAGCAAGGAGGACUUCAUGGAAGAAGUGACGAAAAUGUCCAGCAUCCAGCACC
rnacentral:lncRNA from 1 species